UUGUUUGUCAGAAGCAAGCAGCCAGGGAAUGGGUGAACUUUUACCUGGACCUCACAAGAGGAGAAAGCUCUCUUUUCAAAAUCUGAUAACUCUGCAGAAGAAAACAGAGAUAUUUUCUUUCUUUAUAGGUUGACCUAUGGACUCUGCCAAAAAAAAUUUUCCAUGUGAACUUGAGUUUGCAAGGCCCUUUUUUCUUUCCCAAAAACUCUGUGUUCUGAAAAAGGACAUCUGUGACAAGAUGGAACUUGGCACCAGUAACUCAUGUACUAUGGGUGAAGCACGCUCAGAAGAGGCAGACCCAGAGGAGUCUUGCAUCUUGUAAAUGGCUCUGGGUGAAUCCGAAGAACUGCAUGUGAUUUGUCAGGCGUUUUUAAGAUAAAUGGUAAAACUGAACUGGAAAUCCAUCUGGCCAGCUGCCUGAUCUAAUGAAUAACCCCACUUUGGCUCCUGCAAUGUAAGCAGAAAGAGUUCUCUCCCGGCCGCUUUCGUCUGUCAUGAAUCUACAAGACAGCCGACAUAAUAUCUGGGCGACAACAGCGUGCUAACAGUGCAGUGACUUCCAUUUUCUUUGCUUUCUAUUGAUUUUCACUUAAUAACUGGCGAAAUACUAAACGUCCGCCCUGAGUACCUAAUAAAUCCUGCCUGAGCUUUU